AUCAGAACCAAGUACUUGUUAUUUUCAGUGAGCCUGUGUUUCGCAUUUCGAACACGUGGUCAUCAGUGUUUAAACGAACAUAUUAGUGCACAUUACAUACCUAAGCUGUCCGUCAGUUACGAGAAAUACCAGAUCGAUGUUGGCUUACGAGGGCAAUCAUGAACUGCAAGGGAACUAAUUGGCUGAAAAAAGAGAAGAAUGAAGUAUAUGCUGAAUCAGGCUCAUUGUUUCUUGAAGAUCCACUAACGAUGCCUAGUCUUCAUAUAAAGCAUGACCCAGAACUGAAACAGGAUAUGGAUGGCACUGAACAUGAUGUAAGUUUUCACAUCAG